CAAAUGGGUGCAAUGACGAUGGUAAGAAGAGUGUCUACUGUUAUAUGUCCCAGAACUGAUUAUUAUGACAUUGUUCAGGAAGUCUGUAUCAAAUGGCAGCUGUAUUAUUGAACAGUAACAGUUUAGAUUUUGGAAUGACAACUCUCUAUAAGCCCUUCAAUACAGGUGAUCAAUUUAUCUGGAUUUUUUUUUGGAACCUGUAUCUACCUGUCAAAGAUAUUUUCAUGAACUAGGUAGGUUCUUUUAUUGUUGCAAUCCUAUUCAUCGUUACUCUGUCGACGGUGGUGUGCUGUUGGAAGACGGGUAUAAUUUUAGAGGCAAGCAGCAGCCAGUGAGCACAAGGGAGAAAGGACGCCGCCGCAUCAAAGGAGUAAAGAAGGAGAGAAAUCAGCUUUAAAUUUCAAUCAAAGUGAUAGAAAAUGCAGCUGAUUUUAAUCAUCAAUGGUUUAAUUAAUAUUUUACAUCGUCAGGUAAACUAACUCUAUGCCAUUCUAAACUAUAGGCCAGUGGGCUGAUCACAGGCCUCCUCAUCAUUUCAUGUGGCCCAGCAGAGAUUGACAUGUCAAAGGUUUUAUUUUUAAUAAAAUAUAUUUUAGUCUGUACUAAUAUGGAUUGGAUGUUUUAAAUACAGUGGUCAAAUUCUGAGUGGGUAUAACAGUAUGCAUGGUGGGUAAUUAACAAUUCUUGUGAGUUCUGUCCGUCUCCCUUUCCUCCUGUAGGUGGAGUUGAUUAGUGUGAUCACUCUCACCUGUGUCACCUGGUGCCCUGGGUAUAUACCUAUAUAUAUAUAUUUACACACCCCUCCCUCUCACUCUGUCAUUGUGUGUUCAUUGUCAGUAGUCGAUGUGGCUGUGGUUGUCUAUGUGCUGCUGUUCAUUCCUUAGUGCCUUGUUUGUGGUUCCAAGUUCCUGAUUUAUGCUCCGAUUUCCAGUGGCGACACCUUCUGGCAGGGCACGAUUACCGUUGGCAUUUUGAGUGCUUUGAAUGGCUGAUCAAAGGACACGAAACAUUUUUCAUUCGGAAAAAUCCCACGGCACACCACCAAACGUCGACUUCAUGGAUGGUUGGGAGGACGAUGGACACCAGACUGUCACUCUGAAAUACACAACAACAGAAUUUUCCACAUGCAUCAAAGUUGGGAUACGGACCUGCAGCAGCAGCACAGGAGAUUCGAAAAAGACACUCGCUCUGCAGGGAGACAUUUGACAGCACACACGUUUGUGUGUGAAUGUGUGUACCUUGAUGACCACACCCAUGA